rnacentral:rRNA from 1 species
CCUGAGCUUAGAGUUUGAUCCUGGCUCAGGACGAACGCUAGCGGCGUGCCUAACACAUGCAAGUCGUACGAGCAUUAGCAAUAAUGUUAGUGGCGAACGGGUGCGUAACACGUGGGAAAUCUGCCUGGGAGUGGGGAAUAAACGCUCGAAAGGGCGUCUAAUACCGCAUAAUGCAGCGGCCUCGCAUGAGGAUGUUGUUAAAGUAGCGAUACGCUUCCAGAUGAUCCCGCGCCUGAUUAGCUUGUUGGCGGGGUAACGGCCCACCAAGGCGACGAUCAGUAGCCGAUCUGAGAGGAUGACCGGCCACACUGGGACUGAGAUACGGCCCAGACUCCUACGGGAGGCAGCAGUGAGGAGUAUUGCGCAAUGGACGAAAGUCUGACGCAGCAACGCCGCGUGAGUGAUGAAGGUCUUCGGAUUGUAAAGCUCUGUAGCAGGGGAAGAAUUGCCCGUUGAGGGCGUUGACGGUACCCUGAAAGUAAGCACCGGCUAACUCCGUGCCAGCAGCCGCGGUAAUACGGAGGGUGCAAGCGUUGUCCGGAUUUACUGGGUGUAAAGGGCGUGUAGGCGGAUGUGCAAGUCAUAGGUGAAAGUGGGCGGCUUAACCGUCUCAAGGGCCUAUGAAACUGCAUAUCUUGAGAGUGUCAGGGGGUAUUGGAAUUCCCGGUGUAGCGGUGGAAUGCGUAGAUAUCGGGAGGAACACCAGUGGCGAAGGCGGAUACCUGGGCACAUCUGACGCUGAGACGCGAGAGUGCGGGGAGCAAACAGGCUUAGAUACCCUGGUAGUCCGCACCGUAAACGAUGGGCACUAGUCGUCGGGAGAGGUCCUCUCGGUGACGCAGUUAACACAGUAAGUGCCCCACCUGGGGAGUACGCUCGCAAGGGUGAAACUCAAAGGAAUUGACGGGGGCCCGCACAAGCGGUGGAGCAUGUGGUUUAAUUCGAUGCAACGCGAAGAACCUUACCUGGGCUCGAAGUGCGCUUUGUCUGCGGUGAGAGCCGCAUAGGUAGCAAUACCGGGGCGCAUAGGUGCUGCAUGGCUGUCGUCAGCUCGUGUCGUGAGAUGUUAGGUUAAGUCCUGCAACGAGCGCAACCCUCGCCCAUAGUUACCAGCGGUUAAAGCCGGGCACUCUAUGGGGACUGCCUCCGUAAAGGAGGAGGAAGGUGGGGAUGACGUCAAGUCCUCAUGGCCCUUAUGUCCAGGGCUACACACGUGCUACAAUGGAUCGCACAGAGGGUAGCAAGACCGCGAGGUGGAGCCAAUCCUUAAAACGGUCCUCAGUUCAGAUUGCACUCUGCAACUCGAGUGCAUGAAGUCGGAAUCGCUAGUAAUCGCUAAUCAGCAGGUAGCGGUGAAUACGUUCCCGGGCCUUGUACACACCGCCCGUCAAACCAUGGGAGUUGGUAGUACCCGAAGCCGCCGAGCUAACCGAAAGGAGGCAGGCGUCUAAGGUAAGACUGAUGACUGGGGUUAAGUCGUAACAAGGUAACC